rfam:Salmo salar isolate Sally breed double haploid chromosome ssa05, whole genome shotgun sequence.
UGCAUUCCCUACUGUAAGUCGCUCUGGAUAAGAGCGUCUGCUAAAAUGACUAAAA